AGUGAACGCUGGCGGUAGGCCUAACACAUGCAAGUCGAACGGCAGCACAGUAAGAGCUUGCUCUUACGGGUGGCGAGUGGCGGACGGGUGAGGAAUACAUCGGAAUCUACUUUUUCGUGGGGGAUAACGUAGGGAAACUUACGCUAAUACCGCAUACGACCUACGGGUGAAAGCAGGGGAUCUUCGGACCUUGCGCGAUUGAAUGAGCCGAUGUCGGAUUAGCUAGUUGGCGGGGUAAAGGCCCACCAAGGCGACGAUCCGUAGCUGGUCUGAGAGGAUGAUCAGCCACACUGGAACUGAGACACGGUCCAGACUCCUACGGGAGGCAGCAGUGGGGAAUAUUGGACAAUGGGAGCAAGCCUGAUCCAGCCAUACCGCGUGGGUGAAGAAGGCCUUCGGGUUGUAAAGCCCUUUUGUUGGGAAAGAAAAGCAGCAGGUUAAUACCCCGCUGUUCUGACGGUACCAAAAGAAUAAGCACCGGCUAACUUCGUG
rnacentral:rRNA from 1 species